CCCCUGUAAUAAUGUUGCUCUGCCAGCCCAAUACACGAGAGGGGGACUAUAUAAGAAUCAAUGAAGCUGUCACUAUCACGAACCACCCCACGAUCUGGCAUAUUGGGUACAAUCGCAGAUAAAUACGGUAUAAGCACCACGCCUACGCAAUAUCUAUCAUUUACCCAUGGAUCCGAUGGAUAAACGCUAUACGAUCCUAAGCAUGUAUAUAGAUCGUAUCU
rnacentral:lncRNA from 1 species